AUGCCCGGCAGACGCUCAGUAUCGUAAACAGGGAAGUAACUGUGACAAAUGAGCCAAGAUUUAUUUAGGAAAUUAAAGGAAAUGACCAGCUAAGCACCAGCACGUUAUUCUCGGCAGCAAGAGCUGGCUGCCAGGGAAGUUCAAGGAGAAUGUUAUCCCAGUCACUGCAGGAUAUAUUCUGGCACGGGCUUCCACCUGUGGCUGCAGGGUUUGGUUCUGUAGGAAUAAAAGGCUUUUGCCACGCUGAAAUCUGCUGUACAGAGCCUCUGUAGAGGAUCCCUGCCUCGGUCAAGUUGGCACGUUCUGCUCUGGCAAACACCAUGCCCAGAGGGUCCAGGCCCUCCUCACACACAGACAGAGCUUCCUCGGCUUCAAUCUGCUCGAUCCUCCUCUUAGGUCAAAUUUUCCUGCUACUCCUCAUGACAGGGCUGUACCUGGAGACUGGCCUGCCUCAGCCCUGUUCUGAUUUUCCACUGGGUUGAAACAGGUUUUCAUGCUGGUGUCAUGCCUUUGGAAUGACAUCUGGAGAAGCCAGUCCUUAGCUUGUCUCACUUCACACUGUCGUUCAGGUUAAUGAUGUGUUGCAAUAUUUUGACACGUUCCAUUUAGGGAUCCAAGCUGAAAGGCUUGGCUGACACCAAGAUCUCUGAGUUACAGAAGGACACUGCUGUUUAGAGAGAGGUGGAGUGUUUCUGCCUAAGAAGUGCCUUGGUAACAGACAAGUAAAAUCCAUGACUUCUUACUUGUUGCCUCAGGCACUAACUAGUUGAAUGUGUUACCUCCCACAUAACUGUGUCAGAAGGAGAGAUUUUGCUUUCCAAUCCACCUGCUUUUCCCAUCUGAUUCAGUCUGAGGCUAGAGCCCAGUAUUUGGGACACCAGACCCAAAAUCUGUUUCAUGGUCAGGAGGCUGCUGGGUGCCACUGCAAGGACCACGACACUUUUAGCUCCUGCCUUCCUCACCACUGUGCCAAUCUCACCUGCCUUGCAGGUGUCAGAGGUGGAAGAUGCAGACAUGGUGUCCAGGACAGCAUUACACCUUCAUGUAGUCACCAAAUUCCACUCUUCUGAGACAUUUUAUCUCUCUCAAAUACUCUUUCAGCUUUUAUUAGAUCAGUCUGCAGGAUAUUACUUCUGAUUUGAAACUGCUUUGCUGUUCAGGUGCUGAGCAACUGCAGGGACAGAUGUGCCUGUCUUGUUUCAGAGCUGUUCUACCAACCUACUGAUUUCUAGUGUUGGGCAUGAAUCUGCACCACAGGAUCCCACCUGGACUGCUCUCCUGUGUCUCUGCCUUUUUUUUUUUCCAAGGGGAAUUCAGUCACCAGGGCUCUUCUAGUGCUGCAAGAAGCCACGAGUCUGCAAAAUCCUAGUGGUCUGGUUGGAUUUCAGGAGUUUGGUGCUCAGGGUCAUUGUCUCACACCCGAGUCCAGCCAAGAGAAUAGUCUGAUGCUAAAUAGUGGUCAGAAACCCUGCAGAGAAUGCAGAGCUCCAAAAUCCAAACCACCUGCUGUUGUGCAAGAUGGCGUGGCCUGGAAGGAAGCAUUCCAUCUCCUUGCCAAACAUCAGCCCAUUGGUUGGUUGUGUCUGCAAAUUCCUCUUCCAAUCUCUAUGGGACAGGUGCUCUUCUUCAGUUCCUCUCACAAAUGGCAUUUGCUGGCUGCACUGGACAGCUGGAGAGACAGAUGUGUCUGUUCUCCAGAGUAGCUCUGAGCAGCCCCCUGUUACUUUCAGCUCAUACAGGCUUGCAUUAAAAAAAAAAAAAAACCCAAACAAAAACCCCAAAACAAUAAAAAACCACCACAAACAAACAACAGAAAAAACCGAAAAAACUAAACAAAAAACCAAAAAAACAAAAAAACACAACACCCCCCCCCAAAAAAAAAAAAAAAAAAACCACAAAA